rnacentral:rRNA from 1 species
UAGUAACGGCGAGUGAAGCGGGAAGAGCUCAAGCUUAAAAUCUCCGUGCAAGUUUUGCGCGGCGAAUUGUAGUCUAUAGAGGCGUGGUCAGCGUGGGCGCUUGGGGCAAGUUCCUUGGAAGAGGACAGCAUGGAGGGUGAUACUCCCGUUCAUCCCUGAGUGGCUCGUGCGUACGACCCGUUUUCUUUGAGUCGCGUUGUUUGGGAAUGCAGCGCAAAGUAGGUGGUAAAUUCCAUCUAAAGCUAAAUAUUGGUGCGAGACCGAUAGCGAACAAGUACCGUGAGGGAAAGAUGAAAAGAACUUUGAAAAGAGAGUUAAAGAGUACCUGAAACUGCUGAAAGGGAACCGAAUCGUUUCCAGUGUCUAUAAUCCGUGGCAUAUUUCAUUGGCGAGCGUUUGCGUGCGUGUGCUGUGGCAGUGGCUUUUUUGGCUGCGCCUGGCGUGUGUGCUGUGAGUGUUUGCUGGUGCCCUGUGCUGCGGUGGGACGUCAAGGUCAGUUCGUAUGCUGCGGGAAAUGGCUGCCGAGGAGGUAGGGCUUACGCUCCGCGUUUGUCUGUUAUAUCUUGGUGGACGAGUCGUCGUGGUUGGGACUGAGGUGCCUACAACGUGCUUUUGAGUGGGUUUGUGUCUCCGUGUGCGCCGUGUGCGGAUAGCUUGCUAUGCGUGUGUGGUUGUGUGUGGAUUGAUGCGGGCCUUAACUUGUCGCCGUUC